rfam:Verticillium dahliae VdLs.17 supercont1.1 genomic scaffold, whole genome shotgun sequence.
GCCGGUAUAGCUCAGUGGUAGAGCGUUCCACUCGUAUUCUGCGAUAUGGAAAGGUCCACGGUUCGAUCCCGUGUAGCGGCA